CUGUCAGAUCCUGCGUCAGCGGAGUUGUAUUGUAAUGAAAAUGGAGAGUGGAGUGGCCAACCUCCAAAAUGCAUAGAGAUUAAAUGUGCAGUACCUCCGAUAGAAAAUGGUUAUGUGCCUGAUCACAAUAUCCGAGAGUACAAAGAACAUGAUGUCCUGGACUUUAGGUGUAAUGUUGGAUAUAAACCCACUGAAGACAGACCCUCAAAAUGCACAAAAGUAGGAAUAAGAGCCGAGUGGACCCCCACACCUGCGUGUGAACCAAUAAAAUGUAGACUGAAACCGGCAAUUGAAGGAACCAGGUAUGAAUCUUCCAAAAAUGUGUUUUUACCUGGUGAGACCCUGAGAGUCAUUUGUGGAGAGAAGUACGGCAUUUCUGACAAUCAGCAAUCAGCAGUAACU